rnacentral:tRNA from 2 species
GCAGUCGUGGCCGAGUGGUUAAAGCGAUAUACUAGAAAUCCAUUGGGGUCUCUCUGCACAGGUUCGAAUCCUGUCGACUGCG